UUACUUUGGCAGAAAGUACACUAAAAUUGGAAUUAUACAGAGAAGAUUAGCAUGGCCCCUGCACAAGGAUGACACAAAAAUUCAUGAAACAUCCCAUAUUUUA
rnacentral:snRNA from 1 species